ensembl:lncRNA
ACGUUUCUAGUCCUUAUAACUACAACCACCAUUUUACAUAUUUUUAUGUUAAUAGGGAUGAGUUCACAGAAGCUUGGUAAGUACAGUAGAGUCUCACUUAUCCAAGCUAAACAGGCCAGCAGAAGCUUGGAUAAGCGAAUAUCUUGGAUAAUAAGGAGGGAUUAAGGAAAAGCCUAUUAAACAUCAAAUUAGGUUAUGAUUUUACAAAUUAAGCACCAAAACAUCAUGUUAUACAACAAAUUUGACAGAAAAAGUAGUUCAAUACGCAGUAAUUACUACAUAGCAUUACUGCGUAUUGAACUACUUUUUCUAUCAAAUUUGUUGUAUAGCGUGAUGUUUUGGUGCUUAAUUUGUAAAAUCAUAACCCAAUUUUUUGUUUAAUAGGCUUCUACUUAAUCUCUCCUUAUUAUGCAACAUAUUCACUUAUCCAGCGUUCUGCUGGCCCGUUUAUGUUGGAUAAGUGAGACUCUACUGUAAUGAAAUAUUUAGAAAUAUUUCUUGUGGCCACUUUGUAUCAUUGAGGCCGCUUAUCACAAGCAGGAUCAACAGGAAUUACUUGGUUAGAACUGGCAGAUCCUAUAUACAGUAGAGUCUCACUUAUCCAACAUAAAUGGGCCAACAGAAUGUUGGAUAAGCAAAUAUGUUGGAUAAUAAGGAGGCAUUAAGGAAAAGCCUAUUAAACAUCAAAUUAGGUUAUGAUUUUACAAAUGAAGCACCAAAACAUCAUGUUAGACAACAAAUUUGGCAGAAAAAGUAGUUCAAUACACAGUAAUGCUAUGUAGUAAUUACUGUAUUUACGAAUUCAGCACCAAAAUAUCAUGAUAUAUUGAAAACAUUGACUACAAAAAUGUGUUGGAUAAUCCAGAACCUUGGAUAAGCGAGUCUUGGAUAAGUAAGACUCUACUGUACGUACAUAGAUCAUUUUUUCCCCAUGGCAGACCCUUGCACAAAACAUGGGCCUCAAAGGCAUGUCAUUGCUAGUAAAACAAUUAAAGCAGCUGCUUUUCUUUGGUAUCAGGAUUUCAUUAGUAUUUAUCAAAUGUCCCGAUAGCUUUGUCAGAUAAACUGGAACUAUGUAAACAUCAUUGAAAAAGCCUGCAUUAAUUUAUUUUAUUUUAAACCUUGCCUUUCCAACUCUAAAGGAUCAGAAACAAACAUGAACAUUAAAAAAGCAAAUAACACAGCACAUCAAGUCAUUCUGAAGGAGAAAAAAAUUAAAAUGAAGACAGUAAAGCAAAUCAAGACACAGACCUCUUGAAGUAAAAAAAAGAAGAAGAAGCUUCAAACACUAUUUAAAUGCUGCCAGGAAAAGAGCCAAAAGGAUUAUCUGGGGGAGUGAGUCCCAUAUGUUUAGUGGUGCCAUCAAAGCUCUUUCCUGCACAGCCGUGAUGCAGGCGGGAUAAGAAAAGUCCUCUUCUGGUUAGGCGACAGGGAAAACAAAUGACUACUAAAGGAAAAGUGAAUACUUGAGAUGUCUCUAGGCAGAGGGUUAGUAGUGUUCAGCUGCUCCAUCACUCCUUCCAGAUUUUAUGUGAUUUUUAAAAAGGGCAUUAAAAUGGCUUGGAAAAUGUAGAGGCAAUUCCCAUAAAAUUCUGUGCAUUAAGCGGGGCAAAUACACAAUAAAAAUUUUGUUUGGUAGCAUUUUUGGUAAAUCCCUCUUACCCCCAUGGAUGAGAAAAGAGGCAGGUUUGUUUUCAUUACCAGGGUUUUCAGGUCUUCAGUUUAAACAUGUUCAAGCACUUUAGGUUUUAUAUGCUAUAUUUAUUUUAAAACACCACUUGGAAAUUACGCUCACAACCUUUCUUUUAACUUUUUCAAACAAGCAGCAAUAUUAGGUUAUGUUAAGAGAAGACGUGAAGUCAAUAAAACAGAAAAGGUAUUAAAAUAAGAGGACAAAGCUCACCGUUGAUUUCAAGAUAUUCAGCUGAGACAGUGUUAGUAGUCAUCUAUGUCUAUGUGCCAAGCUAAUCUCAUGGAAGAAUAGGGGAAGAGGAGACUGACUGUAGUUUUCCCAAGGUGCAACUUUGUUCUUUUUAUCAAGUGUGCUUUGUCUUGCUCUGUUUCAGCACAUCCCAACACAGAAAGACAAGUAUCAGUCUAUAAUAGAAAAGUCAGACUGUCCUAUAAAGUCCCUAGAUUUCCCCCCUGUUCUAUGUUGUUUAGUCCACUGUGCGUCCCAGUGUUGGGAUCUCGAAAAAUUUGGCAACAGUAUAAGAUUUCUGAAGGCUAUGUAUUUACACAAAUCUGGUAAUAGUAACAUGAAGUGUUCACAGUGGACUCUGAAGAAAUGCUUCAACUAUAUUGCACAAGCAGGAAAAUCAGCCUGUUUAGCAAGCCUUGCAAAUGC